rnacentral:rRNA from 1 species
AGUGAACGCUGGCGGUAGGCCUAACACAUGCAAGUCGAACGGCAACACAGUAAGAGCUUGCUCUUACGGGUGGCGAGUGGCGGACGGGUGAGGAAUACAUCGGAAUCUACUUUUUCGUGGGGGAUAACGUAGGGAAACUUACGCUAAUACCGCAUACGACCUACGGGUGAAAGCAGGGGAUCUUCGGACCUUGCGCGAUUCAAUGAGCCGAUGUCGGAUUAGCUAGUUGGCGGGGUAAAGGCCCACCAAGGCGACGAUCCGUAGCUGGUCUGAGAGGAUGAGCAGCCACACUGGAACUGAGACACGGUCCAGACUCCUACGGGAGGCAGCAGUGGGGAAUAUUGGACAAUGGGCGCAAGCCUGAUCCAGCCAUACCGCGUGGGUGAAGAAGGCCUUCGGGUUGUAAAGCCCUUUUGUUGGGAAAGAAAAGCAGCAGGUUAAUACCCCGCUGUUCUGACGGUACCCAAAGAAUAAGCACCGGCUAACUUCGUG